UGAGGAAUAUUGCACAAUGGGCGCAAGGGUGACCCAGCAACGCCGCGUGGAGGAUGAAUGUCGUAAGAUUGUACACUCCUGUUAGAGGGGAAGAAUAGUACCGGUUGGACCGGUAUAUGACUGUACCCUCAGAGAAAGCCCCGGCUAACUACGUGCCAGCAGCCGCGGUAAUACGUAGGGGGCAAGCGUUGUCCGGAUUUACUGGGUGUAAAGGGCGCGCAGGCGGGAUAAAAAGUCAGUGGUGAAAUCCUACAGCUUAACUGUAGAACUGCCUUUGAUACUUUCAUUCUUGAGUUCGGGAGAGAGAGACGGAAUUCCAGGUGUAGUGGUGAAAUACGUAGAUAUCUGGAAGAACACCAGUUGCGAAGGCGGUCUCUUGGUCCGAUACUGACGCUGAGGCGCGAAAGCGUGGGGAGCAAACA
rnacentral:rRNA from 1 species